CCCGGGGCCGCCUGCGGUUCCUGACGGACCUUACGGUUGGGCUGGUCUUCGUGCUGGGCUUCGCGAUGCUCUACGGCCUCAAGUAACGGCGGGCCGGCGCGGUGCCGGCAGCCCUCGGGCGGUGCGGGACCCGUGCGGGGACUCGGCAUCACUUCUGAAGCCGUGUGGCCCCACGCCGCUGCCGCCAUGUACCCCGUUUGCUAGCGGACCCCACGCGAGGCGCCUGGCGGAGACACGGACCUUUGUGGCCUCUGACAUCUCCUCCACUGGCACUGCUCUGUGACCCCGGUGGGAACCACAUCUCUGUUCUGCUGAGACACGGUUUUACCUACGUGGUACUGCUGGCAGAGAGUGAAGCUUGCUGGAACACUGUGUUGCAACACCUGGAGUGCCAAGGACGACGUCUGCAGUACUUUGUGCUGUGUUUUCUGGGCUGGACUGUGCCAAAGCCAUGCCCUUCCCUCACUGCUGUGACACACGGUUGUGAUUUCUCCCAGUACAAACAAAAGCAAAACUCCUCGUGCUUUUCAGCUAUGGAGUUCUGUGAUACUGAGCUGAGCCUGAGGCAGCGGCAGGGCAGAGUGCAAUGUGUACUGGUAGGUGGUAUGUGCUGCUACACGAGAGUCUCCUGCCUCUUCUGGAAAGAAUAGUACCACUUUUAACUGCAGAGGCUGCUGUGUGUUUGGGCAAAUUCAGUGCAGGAAAAGAGAACUUUCCAGGAUCCUCUGUUGUUGUUGGGAUUAUAGUCCUGAAAUGUUGGCAUGUGAAGAGCAGGAGGAGCCUGGCAUUAGAGGGCACUGGUUAUAGAGUGGAAGCAUCUAGAGCUGUGGCUCUGUGCCAGCACACCCAUGUAUUUCUGUGCUGGAAGCCAUAUCUCUUAUUGCCCCCAGAGGCGGCUUCCCAGAAAGAGCUUGGCCAGCAGCAUUCUCUCACAGGCUGGAAGAGCUCUGCACAGCCAUGGCAAGCAGUGGAUACUACAAGGAGCAUCUCUUUAGUUCCUGGUAUUGUGAUUUGCCAGUUUUUAAGGCUGUCCUGCCAAACACAUUGUCUUUGGGUUGGUCUCUUUGUAUAUGGUGCUUGGGCUUCUAGGCAGGGAGUGGGUCGGGUGUAGUGCAGCAUGGAGCAGGAGGAGCUGAGCGCUGUGCUCCUGGCACUGCUCUGAUCCCUGGCACUGGGACAGGGAAGCACUCCUGUGAGAUGUCUGGCUCUCCUGAUCUGUGCCUGGUGCUUGUGUCUGAAAUCAAGGCACUAAAGCUGGGCUCAUCAAUGUGCCUUAUCAUGGUGGUGAGGGCAAUUCAUAUUGCUGGUUCUUCCUGUUCCUCUUCAGGUCUCCGUGACACAUCCUGAACAUUAAAAUUAUCCAACCACAAACUAA